rnacentral:rRNA from 1 species
AUUGAACGCUGGCGGCAUGCCUUACACGUGCAAGUCGAACGGUAACAGGUCUUCGGAUGCUGACGAGCGGCGAACGGGUGAGUAAUACAUCGGAACGUGCCCGAGAGUGGGGGAUAACGAGGCGAAAGCUUUGCUAAUACCGCAUACGAUCUCAGGAUGAAAGCAGGGGACCGCAAGGCCUUGCGCUCACGGAGCGGCCGAUGGCAGAUUAGGUAGUUGGUGGGAUAAAAGCUUACCAAGCCGACGAUCUGUAGCUGGUCUGAGAGGACGACCAGCCACACUGGGACUGAGACACGGCCCAGACUCCUACGGGAGGCAGCAGUGGGGAAUUUUGGACAAUGGGCGCAAGCCUGAUCCAGCCAUGCCGCGUGCAGGAUGAAGGCCUUCGGGUUGUAAACUGCUUUUGUACGGAACGAAAAGACUCCUUCUAAUAAAGGGGGUCCAUGACGGUACCGUAAGAAUAAGCACCGGCUAACUACGUGCCAGCCGCCGCAGUAAGAC